rnacentral:rRNA from 2 species
AAUCAAGUGCCUUAAGGGUGUUCGGUGGAUGCCUUGGCGCUGAGAGGCGAUGAAGGACGUGCUACGCUGCGAUAAGCCGUGGGGAGCUGCGAAGAAGCUUUGAUCCAUGGAUUUCCGAAUGGGGAAACCCACCUUCGAUAGCCGGAACUCCAAGACCUUUGUCGAAAGACAUCGGUGUGGGGUUCGAUCAGAAAUGAGAGAUGCCUAAGCCUUUAGAUUUCGAUCGAAGAGGUUUUGGAUUUCCGGUUAUCAAGAGAAGGUAUGAGACUUCUGAAUACAUAGGAGGUUUCAAGCAAACCCAGGGAACUGAAACAUCUAAGUACCUGGAGGAAAGGACAUCAACAGAGACUCCGUUAGUAGUGGCGAGCGAACGCGGACCAGGCC